CAAAGUGUGGUGACGCAAAACUGAAAACCCGAACUCCUAAACCCUGCGAAGCCACGAGCCAUGGUUGGUGGUGAGAGAGAGUGCGUGUUCAUUUCAUAGAAGAAGAAGAAGAAGGAAUGGGAAUAUUCGAACCUUUUAGAGCCAUUGGAUGCAUAACAAGCGGUGUCCCUGUUUCAGUUCAGAGACUCGGCACCGAAACUUUCGUCACUGUCAGCGUUGGAAAGGCCUUUCAGAUUUUCAACUGUGCGAAGCUCAAUUUGCUUGAUCAGAGUUUUAGCCCCAGCUGUAUAAUGCAUCCUGAUACUUACCUAAAUAAGGUUCUCGUUGGGAGCGAGCAAGGUCCUAUGCAGCUUUGGAACAUUAGCACAAAGAAAAAGAUAUUUGAGUUUAAGGGAUGGGAUUCACCGAUCACCUGCUGUGUUUCCUCCCCUGCUCUAGAUGUCGUUGCAGUUGGGUGUGCAGAUGGAAGCGUUCAUGUUCAUAACAUUCGUUAUGAUGAAGAAUUGGUUACAUUUACACAUUCUACACGAGGUUCUGUCACUGCCUUAUCUUUCUGCACUGAUGGGCAACCCCUUCUAGCCUCUGGAGGUUCAUCAGGUGUCAUAAGCGUAUGGAAUCUGGAAAAGAAAAGGCUCCAGUCAGUUGUAAGAGAGGCUCAUGAUAGUGUGAUCACAUCACUACAUUUUUUUGCAAAUGAGCCAGUGCUUAUGAGUUCUUCAGCAGAUAAUUCUAUUAAGAUGUGGAUUUUCGAUACGACUGAUGGUGACCCUCGUCUUUUGCGCUUUCGAAGCGGCCAUAGUGCUCCUCCCCUUUGCAUAAAGUUUUAUGCAAAUGGAAGACAUAUUCUCUCUGCUGGUCAGGAUCGUGCAUUUCGGCUUUUCUCUGUAGUUCAGGAUCAACAAAGUAGAGAGCUUUCUCAGCACAAUGUUUCUAGACGAGCCAAGAAACUUAAAGUAAAGGAAGAAGAAAUAAAGUUGAAGCCCGUGAUUGCAUUUGAUUGUGCUGAAAUUCGAGAACGUGAUUGGUGCAACGUAGUUACUUGUCAUAUGGAUACUGCUCAGGCAUAUGUGUGGAGACUUCAAAAUUUUGUUCUUGGUGAACAUAUAUUGAAUCCCUGCCCAGAAAAUCCAACACCUGUAAAGGCUUGCGCCAUCAGUGCAUGUGGCAAUUUCGCCAUCCUAGGGACAGCAGGUGGUUGGAUUGAAAGGUUUAACCUACAAUCUGGACUACCUCGGGGUGCUUACAUUGACAUGUCAGAAUCACUAAGGUGUGCUCAUGACAGUGAAGUGGUUGGAGUCGCAUGUGACUCAACUAACACUCUCAUGAUAAGUGCAGGAUAUCAAGGAGAUAUAAAGGUUUGGGAUUUCAAAGAACGUGAACUUAAAUCCAGAUGGGAGAUUGGUUCUUCUGUUGUUAAGAUUGUUUAUCAUCGUUAUAACGGUCUCCUGGCUACGGUAGCAAAUGAUUUAGCAAUCAGAUUGUUUGAUGUUGUGGCUCUUAGAUUAGUUCGCAAGUUUGAUGGUCACACUGAUCGCAUUACAGACUUGUGCUUCAGUGAGGAUGGGAAGUGGCUUUUGUCAUCUAGUAUGGAUGGAAGUCUUAGAAUUUGGGAUGUGAUCUUAGCAAGACAGAUAGAUGCAAUUCAAGUUAAUGUGCCUAUUACAGCAUUAUCUCUUUCCCCAAACAUGGAUAUAUUAGCAACUGCUCAUGUUGAUCAAAAUGGGGUAUACCUGUGGGUAAACCAAACAAUGUUCUCUAGUACUUCAACUGUUGAUUCAUAUGCAAGUGGGAAAGAGGUGGUGAGUGUCAAGUUGCCAUCUAUAUCUUCCACAGAACAUUCUCAAGUUGAGCAGUUGGAUGAGGUGGUGAAUGCUUCUCAACCUAAAGAUGCUCCACAUGUUCCAAGUCAAGUUAAUCAAAUACCUGAUUUGGUCACACUCUCACUGCUGCCAAAGAGCCAGUGGCAAAGCUUGAUUAAUUUAGACAUUAUAAAGAUACGCAAUAAACCUAUUGAGCCUCCAAAGAAACCCGAAAAAGCCCCAUUUUUCUUGCCUUCAGUUCCAUCCCUAUCUGGAGAAAUAUUGUUUGAGCCUGGUAAGUUAUCAGUUGAAGAGAGGGAUGGUAAACAAAUGAAAAAGACAAGAUUAGAUUCGACGUCAUCCUGUUUUCUGCAUCUUCUUCAAUCCUCAAACGUUUCAGAUAACUAUGGCGCAUUCACUGAUUAUAUCAAAGGAUUAUCUCCGUCAACUCUGGAUAUGGAACUUCGAAUGCUUCAGAUAAUUGACGACAAUGAUGAUGAACAAGGUGAGAAUAGACCGGAGUUAGUAUCGAUUAAACAGCUUAUGGAUUAUUUCAUCCAUGAGCUCUCCUGCAGAAAUAAUUUCGAGUUCCUACAAGCUGUCAUCAGGUUAUUUUUGAAGAUACAUGGUGAGACGAUUCGGCAGCAUUCACACUUACAAGAAAAGGCUCGGAAGCUUCUUGAUAUUCAGUGCAAUGUGUGGCAGAGGGUAGAUAAAAUGUUUCAAAGUGUAAGAUGCGUGGUUGGCUUUCUUAGUAAUUCCCAUAUUUAGUUAUGACAAAGCCCUCAAUUUCGAAACUUCAAUUAACGGCCAUUGAGUAAUAUAGACAAGAUGAAAGCAAAUUGGUCAAAUCUGGUGGAUGAGGUUUAUACCAAGGAAUUAUAGUUUUGCAUACUAGGCUCCAUAGUCCAUACACGAGCAUUGAGAAAAUUUCGAAACAAGAUUUUGUAUCAGUAAAAUUGCAACUUAUUGAUUCCAUGAGUGAUUUAUUCAAUAGAAAUUUUACAGCUUUAAUGUUC